rnacentral:lncRNA from 1 species
UUCACUUUCAUCUUAAUAGCCCUUUUCUGGGGGGGAGGAGGGCUUCCUCAUAUAAACCAUUCUUUCAAAGUCUGUUUUGGUUGUUUCUUUUUACACUUUACAAGCAGUGACAAAUUAUGUCCACAAUGAGUUCUCAAUUAAAAGAUGAAAAUGUGACCUUGAUCAUUUUAGAGUUUUUGCAAAUUUCAACUUGAUAUUCUAUGGCCUUCCAAGGGCAAAAGACAUCUUUAUUGAUCAAUUUCUGCUGAGACAGAACUCUCCAGUUCUACUGAUUUAACGACGUGGAAUAUUUCUUCAAGUGACAGUAGAAAAAGCUGAUUUACCCAUGAUGAUUCUAUUAAGUGUGGUCUCUGUCAAUAGAGAAGAAUCACUAUUUGAAUGAGACCUCAAGAUGCUUACAAAUUCUAAAUCAACACCCCAAUCUGAGGGUUCAGAGGAAGAAUCAUUAAAAGGUAGUAUCCGAUUACAACUAACCCCUAGCCUCUGAU